rnacentral:lncRNA from 12 species
GAUCCUUGUGGGUCCUGAAUUAACAGCCUCUGAGUUUGUUGUAAACACAGAUCUGAGAAUCAUGACCAGCCCUGGAACUAGUUUCCCCGAUGGUCGUGCCCACAUCUUAGUUCUGACUGUCUUUCUGGGCCGUGGGAUUAUUUGUCUCUUUUUGGCUCCAGGUCCUGAUCCUCCUGGGGCCCCACCUCAUCACCAGCUCCUAUCCCACAGAGACUCUCAUUGGGAAUUAUCUGAGAACAGUUUUCAUCCUCUGAUGACCUCGCAGACAACUCCGGGGUGCAACGGGGGUGAUGAUUGCUAGAUCGUGAAGUUCGGUCCCCGCAGCAGCAGCAUCUGCAGCACCGGAGAGGUUGGUACAAAGGCAAAUUUGGGGUCUGACCCCCGCCUCUGACCAGAGAAUCAGAAACUCUGGGGGCAGGGCCCAGCCGUCUGCAUUUUCACGGAUAGCGCAGGCCGUUCUGAGGUUUGCCGCGAGAGCCACUGACAUGAACGAAGAGGCUUUGUGGAGAGAACGUCAUGAAGCCUAAGGACAUACGCGAAUGGUGGACAGAAUGCUUUGCAUGGAAAAAAAAUCCACUCUUUUGACACGAACAUCCCCUUGUUUGCCUUGAAUAGAGUCUCCCUGUUGCACCUUCAUUGUCGGUAGGGCCUGUGCGUCCACAGCAGGACAGGGACAAGGUCGCCCUAUUGAGGGCUGGGCAGCAGGGGCAUGAGGGCCUGACGGGGGGAGCAGUGGUCUCCUAUGCACUGGGUCAGGGCCCUCUAUCCAGCAAACGGGGGGGGGGUCUUCACUUCCCUGCUCCUCCCCCAGGGCCCCCUACCCUGAUCCUCACUCGGGCCACCGCACAGCUUCUCUUCUCUUUCCACAUCUCCCUCCCAUGGGGUUGAUGGUCUUGUGACUAGUGGCCCUUCCCUGUGGCAGAGAGGUGGCCCCUCCUGGGGCAGAGCUGGUGCCCAAGGCAGCCCUCUGUCCCUCAUGCCAGGACCAGGGUUAGGAGAACCAGUUUCACAAGAGCCAGUAACACUCAGGAAGGCCCUGGGGAAGCCGUCACAUGACUCUCCAGCUGCAAAACAAUAUUAUAAAUAUGCUCUUAGAAACAGGUGUUUCUGGGGGCCCCUGGGGGGCUCAGGGGUUUAGCACCUGCCUUGGGUGACCCCGGGGUCCCGGGAUCGAGUCCCACGUCGGGCUCCCUGCAUGGAGCCUGCUUCUCCCUCUGCCUGUGUCUCUGCCUCUCUCUUUGUGUCUCUCAUGAAUAAAUAAAUACAACCUUAAAAAAAAAAAAAGAAA